UACGAAGGGGGCUAGCGUUGCUCGGAAUCACUGGGCGUAAAGCGCACGUAGGCGGAUUGCUAAGUCAGGGGUGAAAUCCUGGAGCUCAACUCCAGAACUGCCCUUGAUACUGGCGGUCUCGAGUCCGGGAGAGGUGAGUGGAACUGCGAGUGUAGAGGUGAAAUUCGUAGAUAUUCGCAAGAACACCCGUAGCGAAGGCGGCGACCUGGGUAGAUACUGACGCUGAGGUGCGAAAGCGUGGGGAGCAAACAGG
rnacentral:rRNA from 1 species